AGAACGAACGCUGGCGGCAGGCUUAACACAUGCAAGUCGAACGCGUGUAGCAAUACACGAGUGGCGCACGGGUGAGUAACGCGUGGAUAUCUGCCUUUUGGUUCGGAAUAACCCCGGGAAACUGGGGCUAAUACCGGAUGGUUCCUUCGGGAUAAAGAUUUAUCGCCAAAAAGAUGAGUCCGCGUACGAUUAGCUAGUUGGUGAGGUAAUGGCUCACCAAGGCGACGAUCGUUAGCUGGUCUGAGAGGACGAUCAGCCACACUGGGACUGAGACACGGCCCAGACUCCUACGGGAGGCAGCAGUGGGGAAUAUUGGACAAUGGGGGCAACCCUGAUCCAGCCAUGCCGCGUGAGUGAUGAAGGCCUUCGGGUUGUAAAGCUCUUUCACCAUCGACGAAGCCUUCGGGUGACGGUAGGUGGAGAAGAAGCACCGGCAACUACGUGCCAGCAGCCGC
rnacentral:rRNA from 1 species